UACGGAGAGUGCAAGCGUUGUCCGGAAUCACUGGGCGUAAAGGGCGCGUAGGCGGCUCAUGAAGGCUGUGGUGAAAGUCCGGGGCUCAACCUCGGAUCGGCCGUGGCGACUCGUGGGCUGGAGCACUGUAGAGGCGGGUGGAAUUCCGGGUGUAGCGGUGGAAUGCGUAGAGAUCCGGAAGAACACCAGUGGCGAAGGCGGCCCGCUGGGCAGUGGCUGACGCUGAGGCGCGACAGCGUGGGGAGCAAACAGG
rnacentral:rRNA from 1 species